CAAUAGCGUAUAUUUAAGUUGUUGCAGUUAAAAAGCUCGUAGUUGGAUUUCGGUUAAGAGCGACCGGUCCGCCGUUUGGUGUGCACUGGUUGGUUUUAACUUCCUGUAGAGGACGUGCUCUGGGUUUAACGACCUGGACUCGGAGUCUACGUGGUUACUUUGAAAAAAUUAGAGUGUUCAAAGCGGGCUUACGCUUGAAUAUUUCAGCAUGGAAUAACACUAUAGGACUCCUGUCCUAUUUCGUUGGUCUCGGGACGGGAGUAAUGAUUAAGAGGAACAGUUGGGGGCAUUCGCAUUUCAUUGUCAGAGGUGAAAUUCUUGGAUUUAUGAAAGACGAACUUCUGCGAAAGCAUUUGCCAAGGAUGUUUNCAUUAA
rnacentral:rRNA from 1 species